AGAGUUUGAUCCUGGCUCAGGACGAACGCUGGCGGCGUGCUUAACACAUGCAAGUCGAACGGUAAGGCCCCAGCUUGCUGGGGUACACGAGUGGCGAACGGGUGAGUAACACGUGGGUGACCUGCCCCGCACUUCGGGAUAAGCCUGGGAAACUGGGUCUAAUACCGGAUAGGACCGCACCGUGAGGGUGUGGUGGAAAGUUUUUCGGUGUGGGAUGGGCCCGCGGCCUAUCAGCUUGUUGGUGGGGUAAUGGCCUACCAAGGCGGCGACGGGUAGCCGGCCUGAGAGGGUGGACGGCCACAUUGGGACUGAGACACGGCCCAGACUCCUACGGGAGGCAGCAGUGGGGAAUAUUGCACAAUGGGCGGAAGCCUGAUGCAGCGACGCCGCGUGGGGGAUGACGGCCUUCGGGUUGUAAACUCCUUUCACCAUCGACGAAGGUUUUCUGACGGUAGAUGGAGAAGAAGCACCGGCUAACUACGUGCCAGCAGCCGCGGUAAUACGUAGGGUGCGAGCGUUGUCCGGAAUUACUGGGCGUAAAGAGCUCGUAGGUGGUUUGUCGCGUCGUCUGUGAAAUUCCGGGGCUUAACUCCGGGCGUGCAGGCGAUACGGGCAUAACUUGAGUACUGUAGGGGAGACUGGAAUUCCUGGUGUAGCGGUGAAAUGCGCAGAUAUCAGGAGGAACACCGGUGGCGAAGGCGGGUCUCUGGGCAGUAACUGACGCUGAGGAGCGAAAGCAUGGGUAGCGAACAGGAUUAGAUACCCUGGUAGUCCAUGCCGUAAACGGUGGGCGCUAGGUGUAGGGGUCUUCCACGACUUCUGUGCCGUAGCUAACGCAUUAAGCGCCCCGCCUGGGGAGUACGGCCGCAAGGCUAAACUCAAAGGAAUUGACGG
rnacentral:rRNA from 1 species